CCUACGGGAGGCAGCAGCUAAGAAUAUUCCGCAAUGGACGAAAGUCUGACGGAGCGACGCCGCGUGGAUGAUGAAGGUCGGAAGAUUGUAAAAUCCUUUUAUAACUGAGGAAUAAGCAGUGUGAGAGAAACGCAUUGUGGUGACUGUAGGUUAUGAAUAAGCAACGGCUAAUUACGUGCCAGCAGCCGCGGUAAUACACGUAAGUU
rnacentral:rRNA from 1 species